GAGAAAUAUCAAAAUUGUCAUUCUUUUGUCCACGCAUGGAACAGUAAAGUGUGAUAACAAAUCACAGAUGAACAGUAAUUUGGGAUCCCCUCUUCUAAGAUAGAGGGGAUAUUGCCACCCACACCACAUAUAUACAGAAUCCAGAGUCAUCUAUAUUAAAUGCCGUCACCGAAGAAUUACCGUGAAGGAGGCCACGAGGAGAACGAGAAGGGAAAGUUAUCGGGGAAAACCUCAAGCGGCGGGACUGGGCUGGAGAUGCAGCCAAGGACAAGGACGGCAAAGGAAUUUUUCACCGGGAAAAGAGUUGUUGCAAAUUUGCCGGCAUUGCCACACGGAAAACCUAAGCUGACGAAGUUGUUGGUUAAUGUGACGAUACAAAGGAGCCUCGGUGCCGUGCAAGUAGUGAUGGCGCCGGAGGCCACCGUUGAUGAGUUGAUCGCCGCCGUGUUACGGCUACACGAGAAGGGGGGCAGGCGGCCAGUUUUUCCGUCUACCUCGCCUUCCGGCUUCGAUCUCCAUUAUUCACAGUUUAGCUUAGAAAGUAUAAAUAGGGAGGAAAAUUUAAUGGCGUUGGGAUCAAGAAACUUCUUUCUCUGCCCAAAGAAGAAGGCUGCCACCACGGUCAGUCAUGGCGCAGCGGCAGCGGCAGGGGCUUCUUCGAAGGAAGUUGCCAAGCCUUCCUAUAUUGGGUUGCAUGGGCUCAAGUUAAUGGAUAUUUUACUGUGAAGUUGAUUACAGCUUCAAUCCGAGAUGAAGUGAAAGCCGGGCAACCACCCAAAGUCCAGCACAAUCUUGGUAAACUGAUUCAUAUCUCACAUGUCAAGGCUGCAUUGGUGGAGGUGAAGGAUGUGAAAGGAGCCAAGAUUUUUCCCCUCAAUAAGAAGAUUGAUAUUAAGAACUAUGUUAUAGGAGCCCUCUCUGCAGAGGAUAGACCUCAACUGAUGUUCAACUUAGUAUUUGAAGGGGAGUUUGAGCUUUCACAUGAUUGGAAAAGUGGGAGCGUCUAUAUAUUGGCUAUAUUGCUGACGAUUUGGUUUCAUUGUCGUGUGCUUUGAAAUGUGUAACUGUGAUGUUAUUUCGACUCUGAACAUCUGGUGAAUUAGGUGAUUUUGUUUUUUGGCAAUUUUCUUCGUGUUUCUACUAACUUUGGGGAUGAGAUAUCCUUACAGCAUAUUCUGUUUUGUUAAUGUAUGUUUGGCAAAGCUUAUAAUGGCUUUCAUUAAGUCUGUCUUUCUUAUUGAAGGCAGAGUGCCCCAAGAAAAGACCAUCUGAAUCUGCAACAGAAACUUCUGUUCCUGUCAAGAAGGCAAAAUCUGCUGCCGCUGAUGAGACAGCUCCCGCCGCACCGAUCUAUCUCCAGCUCAGGAGGCGGCCACUGCUGUUGUUGCUCUUUUCCACCAGGUCGACAAAGAUGGAAUGUACCAGAUGAUACGGUCCCUACAGCAGACGUUGCCACCAUUUGGACCAGGGUCGAUACUGUUCUGGGGGCUUACUCUUGGACAGAGGUAUAUUAGCCGAGCAUACGGUGAGGUCGCCCGGAGAUUGGACAUAUGUGCUGAUGUGCUGAAUAGCUGAUCAGCCAGGUACAUCCACUACAGUUCCACUGGCUCCAAUUCCGAUACACCCCGACGAGUCUCUGAUCCAUCUUUUGAUUUAUUUAUUAUUUUUUGCUUUGUAUUUUCGUACAUUGAGGACAAUGAUUAAAUGUCCUCCCUAAUAACUUAAGUUGUAGGUGAGGUGCUUAAACAUAGGAUUAUAUAGCAAAGAUAUUGGAUUGAA